rnacentral:rRNA from 1 species
AGAGUUUGAUCCUGGCUCAGGAUGAACGCUGGCGGUCUGCUUAACACAUGCAAGUCGAACGGUCCUUUAGGGGAUAGUGGCGGACGGGUGAGUAACGCGUGAGAAUCUAGCUUUUGGUCGGGGACAACCAUUGGAAACGAUGGCUAAUACCGGAUGAGCCGGAGGGUAAAAGAUUAAUUGCCAAGAGAAGAGCUCGCGUCUGAUUAGCUAGUAGGUGAGGUAAAGGCUCACCUAGGCAUCGAUCAGUAGCUGGUCUGAGAGGAUGACCAGCCACACUGGGACUGAGACACGGCCCAGACUCCUACGGGAGGCAGCAGUGGGGAAUUUUCCGCAAUGGGCGAAAGCCUGACGGAGCAAGACCGCGUGAGGGAGGAAGGCUCUUGGGUUGUAAACCUCUUUUCUUAGGGAAGAAGAAAGUGACGGUACCUAAGGAAUCAGCAUCGGCUAACUCCGUGCCAGCAGCCGCGGUAAUACGGAGGAUGCAAGCGUUAUCCGGAAUUAUUGGGCGUAAAGCCUCCGCAGGUGGCACUUCAAGUCUGCUGUUAAAGAUUGGGGCUUAACCCCAAGCAGGCAGUGGAAACUGAAGAGCUAGAGUGUCGUAGGGGUAGAGGGAAUUCCUGGUGUAGCGGUGAAAUGCGUAGAGAUCAGGAAGAACAUCGGUGGCGAAAGCGCUCUACUGGACGACAACUGACACUCAGGGACGAAAGCUAGGGGAGCGAAUGGGAUUAGAUACCCCAGUAGUCCUAGCCGUAAACGAUGGAUACUAGGUGUGGCUUGUAUCGACCCGAGCCGUGCCGUAGCUAACGCGUUAAGUAUCCCGCCUGGGGAGUACGCGCGCAAGCGUGAAACUCAAAGGAAUUGACGGGGGCCCGCACAAGCGGUGGAGUAUGUGGUUUAAUUCGAUGCAACGCGAAGAACCUUACCAGGACUUGACAUGUCUGGAAUCUCCUUGAAAGGGGAGAGUGCCUUCGGGAGCCAGAACACAGGUGGUGCAUGGCUGUCGUCAGCUCGUGUCGUGAGAUGUUGGGUUAAGUCCCGCAACGAGCGCAACCCUCGUCUUUAGUUGCCAGCAUUAAGUUGGGCACUCUAGAGAGACUGCCGGUGACAAACCGGAGGAAGGUGGGGAUGACGUCAAGUCAGCAUGCCCCUUACGUCCUGGGCUACACACGUACUACAAUGCGACGGACAAAGGGCAGCCAACCAGCAAUGGAGAGCUAAUCCCAGAAACCGUGGCUCAGUUCAGAUCGCAGGCUGCAACUCGCCUGCGUGAAGGAGGAAUCGCUAGUAAUUGCAGGUCAGCAUACUGCAGUGAAUCCGUUCCCGGGCCUUGUACACACCGCCCGUCACACCAUGGAAGCUGGCCACGCCCGAAGUCGUUACCCUAACCUGUAUUGGAGGGGGAUGCCGAAGGCAGGGCUGGUGACUGGGGUGAAGUCGUAACAAGGUAGCCGUACCGGAAGGUGUGGCUGGAUCACCUCCUUUAGGGAGACCAACUCAAGAGCUAGAGCAAGCGUAAGCUGUGGUGUAGCCCUUAGAGACAUCCCAAGGUCGUGCGAAGCAAGCAAAAAUCAAAGCCUUCAAACUAUUAACUCGGUUCGGCAUGAGGGCUAUUAGCUCAGGUGGCUAGAGCGCGCCCCUGAUAAGGGCGAGGUCCCUGGUUCGAGUCCAGGAUGGCCCACCUUGCCCACCAGAUUGCUGAAUGCUCUCAAACAGGCAAACAAGCUUCAGCACCUCAAAUUGUCUAACCAACAAGAGAGAAUGCUGAACUUUCGUUCAGCCAGAACCUUGAAAACUGCAUAGCUAAAAAGAAGAAAACAGCAAAGCAACUGCUGGAAGUUGAAAAAACCACUAGCAGAAGCAUUGUCCAAGUAAGAAGU